AUGAAGCAGAAUUCUUCCUACAAAGGCAAGUGGCAUGCGCCCCUGAUUGACAACCCCAGCUACAAGGGAAUCUGGAAGCCCCAAGAUAUCCCCAACCCUGAGUACUUUGAGCUUGACAAGCCUGACUUUGAUCCAAUUGCUGCUAUUGGAAUUAAGAUCUGGACAAUGCAUGAUGUGUUACGCUCCCCUUAG
rnacentral:rRNA from 1 species